UUAUUAUAGUAAUGGCUAUUGCCGUUUCUAACAGACACCCUGUCAGAAGGUUUAAAAAAUGUAUGCUUCGGUUCAUGCAAAAAAAAAAAAACAAAGGUCAAAACUUUUAAAAUGUCACUUCUUCUGCGCUUUGCAUAGAAAUACAUUGGAUCAGUGGGAGGCUCCCUGCCCACAGAAGGGGCUGCGGGAAGAAUGCUGCCUGCUGCUGAGCCUCCACUUUCCUGCAGCUGUGAGCUGAGCAGAAAGGCACUGUGGGAGUCUAUUGUUGCCCCAGCUGGGUAAUAGUUUUCUUAUUUUACAGUCAGCAGCCAAGGGGGGUUGGGGUGUCUCCGUAAAGUGCCUGAAAAAAAUACAUAACUCCUGCAAAUAGAUCACUUUCUGCCUCUUCCAUGAGAAACAGGAGUCUAUAAAUUGUGUACUUCGUUUGGACCUACCAGUAUAAUUAAAUAUCACAAACAAAAGCCACCC
rnacentral:lncRNA from 1 species